rnacentral:lncRNA from 1 species
UAGUGGGCAUAGGGUGUGCUGUGUCCAUGGGGACUUCUGCCGGUCAGGUUUGUUUACUUGUCUCCCCUGCCUGCCUUACACAGAAUUCUAGAGUCUAAUGAUUAUAUCUUCACCUUGAAAGUUACAAAUUAGUCCAGAAAAAGUAUUCUCAAGUACAUCUCUAUCCCCAGAGGGAAAAUAAAUACGAUACUGCCUCCUCACUAUGUCAUCUUGUUGAUAGACUGAGCUGUCCUAUAUUUUGCUACUAGAUGGGAAACCACCUGACUCUGUGUACGUACUUGACUAACCUCUUGGACAAUUCAAUUUUUCAGGCUUUUCCACUUGAACCAAUUGCAUAAUUCAACGGCCACUAAAAGAAGUUUGAUCAUUUGCAUCAGCCAUUUAGACCUAAGCACUCAGAAUUUGGAACUGAUGGGAAGCUCCGAGCUUGGCAAGUCUGUCAGUUUGCGUAGCAGUUUGGGCGCAUUGGAGGUGGAGGCAGAGCUGGUGCUAGAACCGUGGGCUGCUGAUCUGUGCCUGGGUGUCUGAGGAACACCAGGAAAGGCUCUUUCUCCUUCUUUUCACUAUAUCCUGUCCAGUGGGAAAUGAGAUGCAGAGGCAAGUAAACACCAAAAUGUAAAUAGAUGGUUAAUGGAAAAGGCUUGGGAUUGAGCAGGGCCAUUUCCACCUGUGUGACGUGGGUGAGUUAUUUAGCCUCUGUAAGUCAUAGUUAGAUUGCACUCUUUAUCCAAUUACCCUGUAAUAUUUUCUUUGCAGCACUUAUCCUAUAUGAAAUCAUCUUUUAAAAAAAGUAUUUGUGGUGUGUCUUCCCUUUGUAAAAUUCUGUGAGAGCAGGAACCUUUUCCUACCUAUUCCACUACUGACUCCUCAGUGCUUUGCACAGUCCCUGGCACAGAGUAGGUGCUCAAUAAACAUUUUAUGAAUUAUUGCUGAAUUUUUGAU